UGGACCUCGAAUCAGGUAGGAAUACCCGCUGAACUUAAGCAUAUCAA
rnacentral:rRNA from 1 species